rnacentral:rRNA from 1 species
AUGCCUGACCUAUGUUUCUCCGUAGGUGUGCAAUGUCAUUUUCAGUGCGGUCCAAUGCUUCGUUAUGUGUGUGAAAUGUCAUUUUCAAUGGGUCCUAUGUACGUAAUGCUUAUCAUGACCUUAAUGGACUUUAUUGUCCCUAAAUGUUUCACCUAUGCUUUUUGUAAAUUUAAUGGAUGUAAAAAGUCGGUGUCACUGGAUGUCUCACCUAAUGAUUUCCACAAAUUUAAUGGAUGUGACAUGUCAAUGUCACUAGUAGGGUUGUGUGCAUUUUGCUUCACCGUUUGUGUUGUUAGCAUAUCAUAA